CAGCAGUGGGGAAUUUUGCACAAUGGGCGCAACCCUUGAUCUUGAACGGAGCUGACCGCGUGAGUGAAGAAGGCCUUCGGGUUGUAAAGCACUCUUUUGUCAGGGAAGAACACCGGCUUCUAACAAGUCCUUUUUCUUAGUACGUACCUGAAGAAUAAGCACCGGCUAACUACGUG
rnacentral:rRNA from 1 species